rnacentral:rRNA from 1 species
GUAGGGAAUAUUGCGCAAUGGACGAAAGUCUGACGCAGCGACGCCGCGUGAGUGAUGAAGGCCUCAGGGUCGUAAAGCUCUGUUGUAUGGGAAGAAAAAAAUGACGGUACCAUUCGAGGAAGGACCGGCUAACUUCGUGCCAGCAGCCGCGGUAAUACGAGGGGUCCUAGCGUUGUUCGGAAUCAUUGGGCGUAAAGGGUGUGUAGGUGGCCAUGUAAGUCAGGUGUGAAAGCCCCGGGCUCAACCCGGGAAGUGCACUUGAUACUGCGUGGCUUGAGUACGGAAGAGGGUAGUGGAAUUCCAGGUGUAGUGGUGAAAUACGUAGAUAUCUGGAGGAACACCGGUGGCGAAGGCGGCUGCCUGGUCGAGUACUGACACUGAGACACGAAAGCAUGGGGAUCAAACAGGAUUAGAUACCCCGGUAGUCC